CUUAUCAAGAGCGGCGGAGGAACUGGUCCUGUGAAGCCCGGCAACCUGAUUAUGAUACGCCUUUCGGUCGUAUAUAAAGAAGGUGCUAAAUCCUGCGGAGAUAUUCCGAGAGAUGAGG
rnacentral:ncRNA from 1 species